rnacentral:rRNA from 1 species
AACGCAUAUUGCACUUUCUGGUAUUCCGGGGAGUAUGCCUGUUUGAGGGUCAGUAAAUAAUAAUUAUCAUAAUCUUUUGAUUGUGGAAUUGGGCCUUUAUUUCAUUAAUGAUUUAUGGCCUCAAAUUUACGUUACCGCUUGUUUAAUAUGAAAUUCGACCGAAUGGAGCAAUUAAACAUUCUCUCGUUAGGCGGAUUCAUCAAGCAAUUACGAUUUUUUGGCCGUCGAAGCACUUUUUUUUAGAAGUGCUUGGUCGAGAUUGUAAGAUACAUUUAACAAUGACCUCAAAUCAGGCAAGAAUACCCGCUGAACUUAA